rnacentral:rRNA from 1 species
AGGCCUAACACAUGCAAGUCGAACGGUAGCACAGAGAGCUUGCUCUCGGGUGACGAGUGGCGGACGGGUGAGUAAUAGAGUCUGGGAAACUGCCUGAUGGAGGGGGAUAACUACUGGAAACGGUAGCUAAUACCGCAUAACGUCGCAAGACCAAAGAGGGGGACCUUCGGGCCUCUUGCCAUCAGAUGUGCCCAGAUGGGAUUAGCUAGUAGGUGGGGUAACGGCUCACCUAGGCCACGAUCCCUAGCUGGUCUGAGAGGAUGACCAGCCACACUGGAACUGAGACACGGUCCCAACUCCCACGGGAGGCAGCAGUGGGGAAUAUUGUACAAUGGGCGCCAGCCUGAUGCAGCCAUGCCGCGUGUAUGAAGAAGGCCUUCGGGUUGUAAAGUACUUUCUGCGGGGAGGAAGGUGUUGUGGUUAAUAACCACCGGGAUUGACGUUACCCGAAGAAGAAGCACCGGCUAACUCCGUGCCGGGGGCCGCGGUAAUACGGAGGGUGCCUGCGUUUAUCGGAAUUUCUGGGCGUAGAGCCCACGCUUGGGGUGUGCCCAGUCCAAUGUGAAAGCCCUUGGCCCUUCCGGGGAACUGCCUUCGGAACUGGCAAGUCGAAGUAUCUUCGAGAGGCGUGGAAUUCCGGGGGCAGCGGCCAAAUGGGCAUAGAUUUGGGGGGGUACCCGCGGGGAAUGUGCCCCCUGGGCACAGACUGUUUCUCACGUGAGAAAGCGUGGGGGUCCAACGGGGCUACAUACCCCGGCGGUACCCCCCCAGAACGCUAUGCAUUUCGAGGUUACGCCCCUAAGGCCACGCCCCUCGAGAAGACUCGAUAAAACCAGUUCCUAGGGGAGUCCGCCGGCAGGGUUAAACCUCAAAGGAUUUGACGGGGCCCGCCCCAAGCGGUGGAGCAUGCGGCUGAAUUCGAUGCAACGGGAAGAACCUUCCCUGUUCUUGACAUCCCCAGAACUUAGCAGAGAUGCUUUGGUGCCUUCGGGAACUGUGAGACAGGUGCUGCAUGGCUGUCGUCAGCUCGUGUUGUGAAAUGUUGGGUUAAGUCCCGCAACGAGCGCAACCCUUAUCCUUUGUUGCCAGCGGUCCGGCCGGGAACUCAAAGGAGACUGCCAGUGAUAAACUGGAGGAAGGUGGGGAUGACGUCAAGUCAUCAUGGCCCUUACGACCAGGGCUACACACGUGCUACAAUGGCGCAUACAAAGAGAAGCGACCUCGCGAGAGCAAGCGGACCUCAUAAAGUGCGUCGUAGUCCGGAUUGGAGUCUGCAACUCGACUCCAUGAAGUCGGAAUCGCUAGUAAUCGUAGAUCAGAAUGUUACGGUGAAUACGUUCCCGGGCCUUGUACACACCGCCCGUCACACCAUGGGAGUGGGUUGCAAAAGAAGUAGGUAGCUUAACCUUCGGGAGGGCGCUUACCACUUU